CACAGCUCUGCUUAGAAGCCGGCAGAAGGGAUAAUUUGUACUUUGAGGUUGUAGCUGCAUUUUGUGACAAGGAAGUUCAAGUGCAUCCAUGCUGAUUUUUCCUUAUGUAAUCCAGUAUUUUUAAGUCAGAGAGUCAGUGUCAUUUUAACAAGCUUGAGCCACCCUACAUGUAACCAUCUCUAUUAUUAUCAAUGCUUAUAAUUAAAGCUAGAAAGAGAAGUUUUCUAAAGCGGUUAUGGGGACAAAACCUCUCAGAAGCAUAUGCAAUUGGACAGAGGAUAAAGAACUCCUGCUAUUUAGCUAUUGGACAUCUUCGACUGAG
rnacentral:lncRNA from 10 species